CUCUCAGCUUACCUUGCGCAGCUUAGGUGGGAGGCUAUGAACCUUUUCUUCUGGGAAGAGGGGAGCCAUCAGUGAGAUACCACUCUUGGUAAGCUAGAGCGCUCAGUCUUCGCCGUCAUCCGGUAAGACGACAGUUUCAGGCGGGCAGUUUGACUGGGGCAGUCACCUCCCAAAAGGUAAUGGAGGUGUGCAAAGGUUCCCUCAGGCUGGACGGAAAUCAGCCAUAGAGUGUAAAAGCAUAAGGGAGCUUGACUGCGAGACUGACAUGUCAAGCAGAGACGAAAGUCGGCUUUAGUGAUCCGACGGUGCUGUGUGGAAAGGCCGUCGCUCAACGGAUAAAAGUUACUCUAGGGAUAAC
rnacentral:rRNA from 1 species